AUAACUAGAAUAGCUUAGACUCAGCUCCCAGACUGUGACGGAAGAGACUUGGAAGGAUGGCAACGCGAGACUAGUCUUACAUGCUGACCACACCGCUCACGUUCCGUGCGCUGCAAAAUAAAUAUACACAUACAUGUUAUUCAGUAAUUUCAUCCAAACAGCUUGAGCGGCUGCAUAGCCAGGCACUAAAAUAGAACUUGGUUAGAUUUUUGACACUUGAUGCACUGGAAAGAUGAACUAAGGUCCACACUCCAGUCCAGUUGGUGGUGGUAAUGCACUUUAAAGUUGGUUGCCAACCGCCAUAAAGUCCACAGAAGAAAAAGAAUGAAGGAGGAGUGAUUACUAGAAACCAACCAGGUUUCCCCUUUUAUCUGUGGAUUCAUUGUCAGAGUAGAGAACACAUGAUUUUGUGUGACUCAUGAGUCAAUAUUCUACAAAGAAGAAGAGGACCUUGUUCCUUUCAGGUUAUGAGAAUCUACAGUCGGAGGCUGCAGCAAUAUCCCUUGACUGUACCUGAAACGAUACAAGAUCACCAGUGAAAUGUAACCAGUGGAAUGGAAGAAGAAUUCCUAACGAAUGGCAGACAGUCAGAACAUCAUUUCCAAUAGUUAUCUAUGGGACUGAUACCAGUGUGGAAGAGCUGGUCACUUUUAAAGGGACUUUGUGAAUGAUUACAUUCACAAUAGGACAUUUGAAUAUUAUUGUAUUGCAGACAAGUGAAAGAUGUUUGACAUUUCUUUUCUUGUGAGUUUCCUCCUAAUUCUGAAUGUGGGUGGGGUUUCCAUUUCUAACACGGAGAUGCAUCAGCAGGAUGAGGGACACUCGGGCGUCAAUACGUUUCUCUCUCUACACAAUGCCACAGUUGUCAAAGUAGUUGCGGUGUUUGUACAUCUUCUCCAUUUACAUCAAGGGCAGGUAUUCCAUUAAGGGUUAUUCCUUUUAACCAGAGUGAAAUGUUGGGUUUCUGGAGAUAUGUUAAUUGGUAUAAGGCAAUUAUUGGUACUAAUAUGGGUGAUAAUUUUGAGUGUCACAUGUGAGAGUACCUCCAGUACCUUCCUUAAUUUGAGAUUUUCAAUGACACUAAUCAGCGACCACCUUACCUAGUAUUUAUACAUGCCCCUGUUUGGGUGGUUGUUUUAAUAGGUCACUCUCUGAAUUUGUCUCAACUGCACCAGGACGCGUUUGUCAAAGUAGGACAGAGUGAGCAGACAGAUCUGCCUGUGACAGUUGAAUUGAUUCUCAGUAAUGGGACUUACUUUAUCUGUGGAUCCUAUGCCUAUUCCUGGUUACCAAAGUUGUGGAAAGGGUCGUGUUAUUUGGAAUAUGUAAGAUAUUCUGUGAAUUCUCCUUUUUCACAACGUCAUAAAAGGGAUAUCAUAAGAUUCAUCAAUGGUGUCAGUGGUGUUCACAAGAAUGUGGUAGGGAUCAUAAGGCUCUUCGUCAUCACAGCAAGCCUCAUGAUUGUGGUCAAUGUGCCCGUUGUAACUGUCCUCGGUGCUGUAACGAAUCAUGCGCUCUCAGAUGUGGUAUCACAACUGUUAAUACCUCUUUUCUAUAACUUUGUGUGAAAUCUAUUUCUUAUUGCAACGGCAAAUAAAAUAUGCCCUUUGUGUUUUAUAGGAAUGCAA